rnacentral:rRNA from 1 species
CAGUCGCCGCGGGAAUACGAAGGGUGCAAGCGUUAAUCGGAAUUACUGGGCGUAAAGCGUGCGUAGGCGGUGAGUCAAGUCUGCUGUGAAAUCCCCGGGCUCAACCUGGGAAUGGCAAUGGAUACUGGCAAGCUAGAGUGUGUCAGAGGAUGGUGGAAUUCCCGGUGUAGCGGUGAAAUGCGUAGCGAUCGGGAGGAACAUCAGUGGCGAAGGCGGCCAUCUGGGACAACACUGACGCUGAGGCACGAAAGCGUGGGGAGCAAACAGGAUUAGAUACCCCUGUAGUCCCUGUCUCUUAUAC